UCGGGGUGCGCAGGCGCGAAAACUUUACAAUGCUGGCAACAGCGAUAAGGGGACCUCGAGUGCCAGGAUACAAUCUUGGCUGUCGCGAUGCCUAAAAAGCAUUGCAUAGCAAGGGCCGGGCAAGACCGGUGCCAGCCGCCGCGGUAACACCGGCGGCUCGAGUGGUAACCGCUAUUAUUGGGUCUAAAGGGUCUGUAGCCGGCCGGAUAAGUCUUUUGGGAAAUCCAGCUGCUCAACAGUUGGGCUUUCAGAAGAUACUGUUCGGCUCGAGACCGGGAGAGGUGAGAGGUACUUCAGGGGUAGGGGUGAAAUCUUGUAAUCCUUGAAGGACCACCAGUGGCGAAGGCGUCUCACCAGAACGGAUCUGACGGCAAGGGACGAAAGCUAGGGGCACGAACCGGAUUAGAUACCCGGGUAGUCCUAGCCGUAAACGAUACUCGCUAGGUGUCAGCCACGGUGCGACCGUGGUUGGUGCCGUAGGGAAGCCGUGAAGCGAGCCACCUGGGAAGUACGGCCGCAAGGCUGAAACUUAAAGGAAUUGGCGGGGGAGCAC
rnacentral:rRNA from 1 species